ACGAACGCUGGCGGCGUGCUUAACACAUGCAAGUCGAACGGAAAGGCCCUGCUUUUGUGGGGUGCUCGAGUGGCGAACGGGUGAGUAACACGUGAGUAACCUGCCCUUGACUUUGGGAUAACUUCAGGAAAAUGGGGCUAAUACCGGAUAGGAGCUCCUGCUGCAUGGUGGGGGUUGGAAAGUUUCGGCGGUUGGGGAUGGACUCGCGGCUUAUCAGCUUGUUGGUGGGGUAGUGGCUUACCAAGGCUUUGACGGGUAGCCGGCCUGAGAGGGUGACCGGCCACAUUGGGACUGAGAUACGGCCCAGACUCCUACGGGAGGCAGCAGUGGGGAAUAUUGCACAAUGGGCGGAAGCCUGAUGCAGCAACGCCGCGUGCGGGAUGACGGCCUUCGGGUUGUAAACCGCUUUCGCCUGUGACGAAGCGUGAGUGACGGUAAUGGGUAAAGAAGCACCGGCUAACUACGUG
rnacentral:rRNA from 1 species